rnacentral:lncRNA from 1 species
UGUCAGUCUUCUCUGAGGCGGCGCUGGAGAAGGAGCUGUCGGGGUUAAGCAAUGCGCAGCAGAGCAUGCAGACCUGGUCCCUGUGGCUCAUUCAUCACAGCAAGAAGCACCCGGGCCCGUGGUCACCGCAUGGUAGCUGGAGCUGCAGAGAGCAAAGCCAAACAGGAAGCUUACUUUUCUUACCUUGCCAGUGAGACCACCUGGGCAACAUGGUGAAACCUUGUCUCUACUAAAAUACAAAGCAAAAGGAAGGGGCCGGAGCUUACAAAAGAUUUGCACUGGUUAUAGUGGAAGCUUUUAAGCAUGUUUCAAGUGAAACUGAUGAGAGUUGUAAGAAGCACAGAAGCACAUUGGAAGAGUGUUGUCUAUUUGGGAAGAAAGGUCUGUUUAUGCAAAUGAUAAGCCUAGGAAGCAAAUUUAUAAACAGAUAAAGAUGAAUGAAAAUAAAAACUGUUCUUCUCUGGGAUCUGCAAAUGAGCCACCACCACAGACUCUAAAUCUCGUGACAGCAUUACAAAAUCUAGAAAAUGCAGCCUUGGGUGAUGCAGGAGUUCACUAGAGGAUCACUUUUUUGCCUGCUGUAGACCAAGAAGUAUCUCUACUAGAUAAAAUAGCAGAUAAAGAACCUGGAGAAAGGCUUUCUAAAAUGAUGGAUGCAUGUAUGUUGCCAGCAGAUUACAAUGGCAGAAUGGCAGCAGAAAUAGAUGAGGGGAAGCAACUCACUCGAAUGUUAGCAGAUUUUCUUCAUUGUCCAAUGGAAGCCCUCGCAGAGAAAGCAUAAAUUGGAAGAAUACAAGUGCAAGUGAGCCAGAGUUUCCCUGGUGUGCAAAGAAUUCAGGUCCCCGAUCCAGAGCCUGUCAGAUUAAUCUUGACUACCCAAUGUCACUGGCAGCCGCAUGCACCUGCCCUUUGCAGGGACAUCUACAGUGAAGAU